CGCAUCUGUGCAUGCAGCAUAUCAAUAAGCGGAGGAAAAGAAACUAACAAGGAUUCCCUUAGUAACGGCGAGUGAAGCGGGAAGAGCUCAAAUUUGAAAUCUUCAAGGUUUUACCUUGACGAAUUGUAGUUUAAAGAAGUGUUUUCUGUUGAAGUUUUGGUAAAAGUUCUUUGGAAUAGGACAUCAUAGAGGGUGAGAAUCCCGUAUUUGACCAUUAUUUUCAGCUGUGUGAUACACUUUCAAAGAGUCGGAUUGUUUGGGAAUGCAGUCCAAAAUGGGUGGUAAAUUUCAUCUAAAGCUAAAUAUUGGCGAGAGACCGAUAGCGAACAAGUACCGUGAGGGAAAGAUGAAAAGAACUUUGAAAAGAGAGUUAAACAGUACGUGAAAUUGUCAAAAGGGAAGCGUUUGACACCAGUGUUGUUUUCUCGAAAAUCAAUUAAAAAGAGUUUGAUUUUGUUGUGUAUUGACCUUAACAGCUUGUAUUUCAAUUUUCUUGCUCUUUUUAAUGCACUUUUCGUUUAACAAGUCAACAUCAGUUUCUUUUGUUGUAAAAAGGUCAUUGGAAGGUGGCUUUCUUUUCGGAGAAAGUGUUUAUAGCCUUUGACUCCUGCAAUCGGAGAGACUGAGGUCUGCAGCGUAGAUCCUUCGGGGUUAGAUACAUUUGUGCUAAGUUAUAGCUUUUUAUAGACAACUUGUUGACUAUGAUUAGUCUUGUAGCUUACUCGCUUAUACUAUUUUACCUACGCUUAGGAUGUUGAUGUGAUACUGCGAGCA
rnacentral:rRNA from 1 species